rnacentral:rRNA from 1 species
GAUGAACGCUGGCGGCGUGCCUAAUACAUGCAAGUCGAGCGAAGCGGGGACGGGUGAGUAACACGUGGGUAACCUCCUAUAAGACUGGGAUAACUUCGGGAAACCGGAGCUAAACCCGAUAUUUAUCGAUGGAUCCGCACUGCAUUAGCUAGUUGGUAAGGUAACGGCUUACCAAGGCAACGAUGCAUAGCCGACCUGAGAGGGUGAUCAGCCACACUGGAACUGAGACACGGUCCAGACUCCUACGGGAGGCAGCAGUAGGGAAUCUUCCACAAUGGGCGAAAGCCUGACGGAGCAACGCCGCGUGAGUGAUGAAGGUCUUCGGGUCGUAAAACUCUGUUAGUAGGGAAGCGGUACCUAAACAGAAAGCCACGGCUAACUACGUGCCAGCAGCCGCGGUAAUAC